rnacentral:rRNA from 1 species
UACGUAGGCAGCGAGCGUUGUUCGGAAUUACUGGGCGUAAAGGGCGCGUAGGCGGCCUUCUAAGUCGAACGUGAAAUCCCUGGGCUCAACCCAGGAACUGCGUCCGAUACUGGAAGGCUUGAAUCCGGGAGGGGGGUAGCGGAAUUCCCAGUGUAGCGGUGAAAUGCGUAGAUAUUGGGGAGGAACACCAGUGGCGAAGGCGGCUACCUGGACCGGUUCUGACGCUGAGGCGCGAAAGCGUGGGUAGCAAACAGG